rnacentral:misc_RNA from 1 species
CAGAUUCUGAAAUCAGAACUGGACAAAAAGCAAAAGAACUGCAAAAAGGAAAAAAUAGUUUGAUGGUGCCUGAUAGUAUGCAUGAAAAUGUUUCAAAUUGCGUUGGUGAGAUCUCUGACAAGAAAAAAAGGGCCCAAUCUGGGCUUGGAAAAACAAGUGAAACUUUACAUAGUGCAAAAAAGCCUAAGUGUUUAGUUCUGGGGGAUGCUACUGCUAAGGAAUCUAUCACAAAAAACAUGAAGAAUGUUUCUCCAAGCUCUAAUGCAGUUACUCAGUCCAAAU